UACGAAGGGGGCUAGCGGUGCUCGGAAUCACUGGGCGUAAAGGGCGCGUAGGCGGACUUUUAAGUCGGGGGUGAAAGCCCAGGGCUCAACCCUGGAAUUGCCUUCGAUACUGAGAGUCUUGAGUUCGGAAGAGGUUGGUGGAGCUGCGAGUGUAGAGGUGAAAUCCGUAGAUAUUCGCAAGAACACCAGUGGCGAAGGCGGCCAACUGGUCCGAUACUGACGCUGAGGCGCGAAAGCGUGGGGAGCAAACAGG
rnacentral:rRNA from 1 species